GUUCGCUUCGGCUGCACAUACACUAAAAUUGGAACAGUGCAGAUUAGCAUAGCCCCUGCGCAAGGAUGACUCAAAAAUUCGUGAAGCAUUCCAUAUUUUA
rnacentral:snRNA from 1 species